AGUGAACGCUGGCGGUAGGCCUAACACAUGCAAGUCGAACGGCAGCACAGUAAGAGCUUGCUCUUACGGGUGGCGAGUGGCGGACGGGUGAGGAAUACAUCGGAAUCUACUUUUUCGUGGGGGAUAACGUAGGGAAACUUACGCUAAUACCGCAUACGACCUACGGGUGAAAGCAGGGGAUCUUCGGACCUUGCGCGAUUGAAUGAGCCGAUGUCGGAUUAGCUAGUUGGCGGGGUAAAGGCCCACCAAGGCGACGAUCCGUAGCUGGUCUGAGAGGAUGUUAGGCCCAACUGAAACUGAGACACGGUCCAGACCCCUAGGGGAGGCAGCAGUGGGGAAUAUUGGAAAAUGGGGGCAAGCCUGACCCAGCCAUACCGCGUGGGUGAAGAAGGCCUUCGGGUUGUAAAGCCUUUUGUUGGGAAAGAAAAGCAGCAGGUUAAUACCCCGCUGUUCUGACGGUACCCAAAGAAUAAGCACCGGCUAACUUCGUG
rnacentral:rRNA from 1 species